GCCAGAUGCAGGAAGAGUUGUAAGGAAAAGGAGAGCAGCAGCUGUGUCCAGACAGGGAGGGCAGCCAGGCACUUGUGCUGGGAUAAUAGAACUUUAAAAUGGGAACCAAAAGAGGGAUUUGGCUGCUAGAAAAGGUGCCUAGUGGUGAAUUUUUAGGAGCUUGGCUCCCUUCAAAGGAACAAGUACUGUUAGUUUUUAUUUUCCAUCACAAGGAAAUGAAAGAAACACUUUCGGAUGCUGCUAAAUCUACCAGUACAAAACAACAGGAGGUGUGGAGGAAAGCAAAUAUCCCUCUUAAGACGGAGGAGAAUAUCCGUGCUGAUAUACAGAAGCUGUACAAAGAAUACCAAAAUCUGGGUAAAGAGAAAUCGAGAAACACGGAUAAAGCAAAUGAGAAACGGCAGAUUUGGAAAGGUGAUCUUGUCGAGUUAUUUGACAUUUCCCGGCAAAAUGCGAUGGACAUAACUAGCGUAUCACAAGAAGAUAAAAAAUUUCUUAGGUCACAAAGAGAUGAUUGUAUGAGUUCGUCAAUGAGUGGAGUAGACAAGGUUUUCACCUCGAAAAUAAGAACUAGGUAAGUGUACAAAAGAAAAAAAAAAAGAUUCAUAUAAGAAUAAACAUUACAAAGCUAUCGCUGAAAUCAAUAAGACAAUUAUACUG